UGGCCUUAAAGGGACCACACACACAGCCCCGUUCCUCCUGAGCUCAUGAAGCUGCUUGUUCUGGUGGCAGUCACAGGCUGGAGGGAGAGCUACGCACGACCUGCGAAUGAAAACCGAAAGGUCAACUUCUAUGCAUCCCGAGAUAUGUCAACAUUUCAGGAAUUACCCCAGAUCAAGAGUGCAUCAUUCUCUCCUCCAUGUUGUUCUGUACUGUGCAGCGACUUCCACCUACAGUUCUGACACUCAAUGAUACAAUGUAACCAGACACCUCCUGCUCCUGUCACCAUGACUUCCCUGCCAAGGAACUGGACCCUGAAACUGUGAGCCAAAAUAAAUCCCUCCUUUAGUUGCUUUUAU